ACUCCUGCGGGAGGCAGCAGUGGGGAAUAUUGGACAAUGGGCGCAAGCCUGAUCCAGCCAUGCCGCGUGAGUGAUGAAGGCCCUAGGGUUGUAAAGCUCUUUCACCGGUGAAGAUAAUGACGGUAACCGGAGAAGAAGCCCCGGCUAACUUCGUGCCAGCAGACGCGGUAAUACGAAGGGGGCUAGCGUUGUUCGGAUUUACUGGGCGUAAAGCGCACGUAGGCGGACUAUUAAGUCAGGGGUGAAAUCCCGGGGCUCAACCCCGGAACUGCCUUUGAUACUGGUAGUCUUGAGUUCGAGAGAGGUGAGUGGAAUUCCGAGUGUAGAGGUGAAAUUCGUAGAUAUUCGGAGGAACACCAGUGGCGAAGGCGGCUCACUGGCUCGAUACUGACGCUGAGGUGCGAAAGCGUGGGGAGCAAACAGGAUUAGAAACCCCAGUAGUCCCAUG
rnacentral:rRNA from 1 species